rnacentral:rRNA from 1 species
AUUGAACGCUGGCGGCAGGCCUAACACAUGCAAGUCGAACGGUAACAGGAAGAUGCUUGCUUCUUUGCUGACGAGUGGCGGACGGGUGAGUAAUGUCUGGGAAACUGCCUGAUGGAGGGGGAUAACUACUGGAAACGGUAGCUACUACCGCAUAACGUCGCAAGGCCAAAGAGGGGGACCUUCGGGCCUCUUGCCAUCGGCUGUGCCCAGAUGGGAUUAGCUAGUAGGUGGGGUAACGGCUCACCUAGGCGACGAUCCCUACCUGGUCUGAGAGGAUGACCAGCCACACUGGAACUGAGACACGGUCCAGACUCCUACGGGAGGCAGCAGUGGGGAAUAUUGCACAAUGGGCGCAAGCCUGAUGCAGCCAUGCCGCGUGUAUGAAGAAGGCCUUCGGGUUGUAAAGUACUUUCAGCGGGGAGGAAGGGAGUAAAGUUAAUACCUUGGCUCAUUGACGUUACCCGCAGAAGAAGCACCGGCUAACUCCGUG